GAAGGAGGAAAAAAGGCAGGACCAGAACUUGAAAGGGAUCUGUGAGCUUUUGAAAGGUGCUUAGUUGCCUAACUGUAAAUUGGUUUAGUAAAACUUAAGCACCUGUACCUUAAAGCUGUGGUCUCCAAAUGGCAUUGUUACUCUAAAGUGCUGUAACAAGGAGUAACGACCGUGACUCCCUCCUCAUUACAUUUCUUUACAGGGAGCUGGAUUUUUCAUGGAACUGCAAGAGAAAUGCCGGAGGGAGAUGCUGGGAAUUGCUGGCUGUGUAUUCUACUGGCAGCAGACAGGAAGGAUCGGGAUAAUUCCUGCACUUUUGAUGGGUUGUGCUAUCUCCAGAUAUUGCUGAAUCAUUGAUGCCAUAGAACUUCCACCUGGAGCUCAUAAAAAUGUUGGGGGCAAGCAGCAUUUCUGUCUGAAAUUCAUGUACUGAAUUAACUGCUUUUGUUUCCUUUUUAAGUGCUGCCAAGGAGAAAAUCGCUGGAUAUACCUACUGGGUUUUUUCUUACUACCACCCUCAAGUCUAUCUAGUACACAAAUGGAAGCUCUGGAUAUGGGGGUCUUGUGGAUAAAAAUAAUAAUCUUUUUCAGUUCUUCACUGGUGUAUAAAUUGAUUUAUUAAACAGUAUGAAGUAAAAGAUGAUUUCAUCA